rnacentral:rRNA from 1 species
AUUGAACGCUGGCGGCAGGCCUAACACAUGCAAGUCGAGCGGAUGAGUGGAGCUUGCUCCAUGAUUCAGCGGCGGACGGGUGAGUAAUGCCUAGGAAUCUGCCUGGUAAUGGGGGACAACGUUUCGAAAGGAACGCUAAUACCGCAUACGUCCUACGGGAGAAAGCAGGGGACCUUCGGGCCUUGCGCUAUCAGAUGAGCCUAGGUCGGAUUAGCUAGUUGUGGGGGUAAAGGCUCACCAAGGCGACGAUCCGUAACUGGUCUGAGAGGAUGAUCAGUCACACUGGAACUGAGACACGGUCCAGACUCCUACGGGAGGCAGCAGUGGGGAAUAUUGGACAAUGGGCGAAAGCCUGAUCCAGCCAUGCCGCGUGUGUGAAGAAGGUCUUCGGAUUGUAAAGCACUUUAAGUUGGGAGGAAGGGCAGUAAGUUAAUACCUUGCUGUUUUGACGUUACCGACAGAAUAAGCACCGGCUAACUUCGUACCAGCAGCCGCCGUAACAC